GCGCCGGUGGUGUAAGGCGUAUCGUCGCUGCCUGCAAAGCAGAAGGUGCAAGUUCGAGUCCCGCCUGGCGCA
rfam:Heligmosomoides polygyrus genome assembly, scaffold: HPBE_scaffold0000202